rnacentral:tRNA from 1 species
GGAGGGGUGGCAGAGCGGUUGAAUGCGCCGGUCUUGAAAACCGGUGGCCUUCGCAAGGGGGCUCGUGGGUUCGAAUCCCACCCCCUCCG